rnacentral:lncRNA from 1 species
AUGGUGGGCUGGAUGGUGGGCUGGAUGGUGGGCUGGCUGGAGGGCUGGAUGGUGGGCUGGCUGGUGGGCUGGAUGUUGGGCUGGAUGGUGGUCUGGCUGGAGGGUGGAUGGUGGGCUGAAUGGAGGGCUGGAUGGAGGGCUGGAUGGUGGGUUGGAUGGAGGGCUGGAUGGAGGGCUGGAUGGAGGGCUGGAUGGCUGGAUGGUGGGCUGGAUGGUGGGCUGGCUGGCUGGAUGGAGGGCUUGAUGGUGGGAUGGAUGGUGGGCUGGCUGGCUGGCUGGAUGGUGGGCUGGAUGGUGGGCUGGCUGGUGGGCUGGAUGGAGGGCUGGAUGGAGGGCUGGAUGGUGGGCUGGAUGGUGGGCUGGAUGGCUGGUGGGCUGGCUGGUGGGCUGGCUGGUGGGCUGGCUGGUGGGCUGGCUGGCUGGAUGGAUGGUGGGCUGGCUGGAUGGAGGGCUGGCUGGAUGGUGGGCUGGAUGGUGGGCUGGCUGGUGGGCUGGAUGGUGAGCUGGCUGGAUGGUGGGCUUGAUGGUGGGAUGGAUGGUGGGCUGGCUGGCUGGCUGGUGGGCUGGAUGGAGGGCUGGAUGGCUGGAUGGUGGGCUGGAUGGCUGGAUGGUGGGCUGGAUGGUGGGCUGGCUGGCUGGAUGGAUGGUGGGCUGGCUGGAUGGAGGGCUGGCUGGAUGGUGGGCUGGAUGGUGGGCUGGCUGGUGGGCUGGAUGGUGGGCUGGCUGGAUGGUGGGCUGGCUGGAUGGUGGGCUGGCUGGAUGGUGGGCUGGCUGGCUGGAUGGAUGGAGGGCUGGAUGGUGGGCUGGAUGGUGGGAUGGCUGGAUGGUGGGCUGGCUGGCUGGAUGGAGGGCUGGAUGGUGGGCUGGAUGGUGGGAUGGCUGGAUGGUGGGCUGGCUGGAUGGUGGGCUGGCUGGCUGGAUGGUGGGCUGGAUGGUGGGCUGGAUGGUGAGCUGGCUGGUGGGCUGGCUGGUUGGAUGGUGGGCUGGCUGGAUGGUGGGCUGGAUGGUGGGCUGGCUGGAUGGUGGGCUGGCUGGUGGGCUGGCUGGAUGGUGGGCUGGCUGGUGGGCUGGAUGGUGGGCUGGCUGGAUGGUGGGCUGGCUGGAUGGUGGGCUGGCUGGCUGGAUGGAUGGAGGGCUGGAUGGAGGGCUGGAGGGCUGGAUGGAGGGCUGGAUGGUGGGCUGGAUGGUGGGAUGGCUGGAUGGUGGGCUGGCUGGCUGGAUGUUGGGCUGGAUGGUGAGCUGGCUGGUGGGCUGGCUGGUUGA